rnacentral:lncRNA from 1 species
UAUGGGGAACUCCUCCAGGUACUCAAAGGCCGUGGAAUUCCUGGGAGAACAGCAACGCGGGGGAGGCCCUCAGUGCUGUGGCAGAGGAACUGUCCAUCCUCUGGGAUCUGCUGCUUAUCACUAAAUUGACUCUGACGAUGGUGGCCGGCAAGGCCCUGGCCUGAGGGAGCUCUGAGAUCCACGUGGCUGCCUCUGACUACUGCUCAUCCACGUGAUGCCAAACACUUUCCACAAGUGACCUUUACUCCUUCCUUUACUGCUGCAAGAACAGGCAUGUUCCCCACAGCAGCCUUCAUCUUAGGAAAGAACUGGGCACCUCACACCUGGAAUAGGAAGAGAAGCGCUAUGCAGCACGUCGGGAAAGCUGGGCCGAGGGGAGUA